CAGGCUUAACACAUGCAAGUCGAGGGGCAGCAUGGUCUUAGCUUGCUAAGGCCGAUGGCGACCGGCGCACGGGUGAGUAACACGUAUCCAACCUGCCGUCUACUCUUGGACAGCCUUCUGAAAGGAAGAUUAAUACAGGAUGGCAUCAUGAGUCCGCAUGUUCACAUGAUUAAAGGUAUUCCGGUAGACGAUGGGGAUGCGUUCCAUUAGAUAGUAGGCGGGGUAACGGCCCACCUAGUCUUCGAUGGAUAGGGGUUCUAAGAGGAAGGUCCCCCACAUUGGAACUGAGACACGGUCCAAACUCCUACGGGAGGCAGCAGUGAGGAAUAUUGGUCAAUGGGCGAGAGCCUGAACCAGCCAAGUAGCGUGAAGGAUGACUGCCCUAUGGGUUGUAAACUUCUUUUAUAAAGGAAUAAAGUCGGGUAUGGAUACCCGUUUGCAUGUACUUUAUGAAUAAGGAUCGGCUAACUCCGUGCCAGCAGCCGCGGUAAUACGGAGGAUCCGAGCGUUAUCCGGAUUUAUUGGGUUUAAAGGGAGCGUAGAUGGAUGUUUAAGUCAGUUGUGAAAGUUUGCGGCUCAACCGUAAAAUUGCAGUUGAUACUGGAUAUCUUGAGUGCAGUUGAGGCAGGCGGAAUUCGUGGUGUAGCGGUGAAAUGCUUAGAUAUCACGAAGAACUCCGAUUGCGAAGGCAGCCUGCUAAGCUGCAACUGACAUUGAGGCUCGAAAGUGUGGGUAUCAAACAGGAUUAGAUACCCUGGUAGUCCACACGGUAAACGAUGAAUACUCGCUGUUUGCGAUAUACUGCAAGCGGCCAAGCGAAAGCGUUAAGUAUUCCACCUGGGGAGUACGCCGGCAACGGUGAAACUCAAAGGAAUUGACGGGGGCCCGCACAAGCGGAGGAACAUGUGGUUUAAUUCGAUGAUACGCGAGGAACCUUACCCGGGCUUAAAUUGCAGAUGAAUUACGGUGAAAGCCGUAAGCCGCAAGGCAUCUGUGAAGGUGCUGCAUGGUUGUCGUCAGCUCGUGCCGUGAGGUGUCGGCUUAAGUGCCAUAACGAGCGCAACCCUUGUUGUCAGUUACUAACAGGUUCCGCUGAGGACUCUGACAAGACUGCCAUCGUAAGAUGUGAGGAAGGUGGGGAUGACGUCAAAUCAGCACGGCCCUUACGUCCGGGGCUACACACGUGUUACAAUGGGGGGUACAGAGGGCCGCUACCACGCGAGUGGAUGCCAAUCCCCAAAACCUCUCUCAGUUCGGACUGGAGUCUGCAACCCGACUCCACGAAGCUGGAUUCGCUAGUAAUCGCGCAUCAGCCACGGCGCGGUGAAUACGUUCCCGGGCCUUGUACACACCGCCCGUCAAGCCAUGGGAGCCGGGGGUACCUGAAGUGCGUAACCGCGAGGAGCGCCCUAGGGUAAAACUGGUGACUGGGGCUAAGU
rnacentral:rRNA from 1 species